AACGAACGCUGGCGGCAUGCCUAACACAUGCAAGUCGAACGAGACCUUCGGGUCUAGUGGCGCACGGGUGCGUAACGCGUGGGAACCUGCCCUUAGGUUCGGAAUAACUCCCCGAAAGGGGUGCUAAUACCGGAUAAUGUCUUCGGACCAAAGAUUUAUCGCCUUUGGAUGGGCCCGCGUUGGAUUAGCUAGUUGGUAGGGUAAAAGCCUACCAAGGCGACGAUCCAUAGCUGGUCUGAGAGGAUGAUCAGCCACACUGGGACUGAGACACGGCCCAGACUCCCACGGGAGGCAGCAGUGGGGAAUAUUGGACAAUGGGCGAAAGCCUGAUCCAGCAAUGCCGCGUGAGUGAUGAAGGCCUUAGGGUUGUAAAGCUCUUUUACCCGGGAUGAUAAUGACAGUACCGGGAGAAUAAGCGCCGGCUAACUCCGUG
rnacentral:rRNA from 1 species